rnacentral:lncRNA from 1 species
CGACACUACUCAUUCUUGACCGCAUUUCAGUUUUUCAACCUUGUCUAAAAAAUAAUGAAUAGGCUACCACUAACUGAGGACACAUCCAGAAAUACCAUGAACAGGUUACCACUGACUGAGGCCACAUCCAGAAAUACCAUGAACAGGUUACCACUGACUGAGGCCACAUACAAAAAUAUCAUGAACAGGUUACCACUGACUGAGGCCACAUACAAAAAUAUCAUGAACAGGUUACCACUGACUGAGGCCACAUACAAAAAUACCAUGAACAGGGUUACCACUGACUGACACCACAUCCAGAAAUACCAUGAACAGGUUACCACUGACUGAGGCCACAUACAAAAAUAUCAUGAACAGGUUACCACUGACUGAGGCCACAUCCAGAAAUACCACGAACAGCCGGUUACCACUGACUGAGGCCACAUCCAGAAAUAUCAUGAACAGGUUACCACUGACUGAGGCCACAUACAAAAAUAUCAUGAACAGGUUACCACUGACUGAGGCCACAUACAGAAAUAUCAUGAACAGGUUACCACUGACUGAGGCCACAUACAGAAAUAUCAUGAACAGGUUACCACUGACUGAGGCCACAUCCAGAAAUACCAUGAACAGGUUACCACUGACUGAGGCCACAUCCAAAAAUAUUAUGAACAACUGGUUACCACUGACUGAGGCCACAUCCAGAAAUAUCAUGAACAGGGUUACCACUGACUGAGGCCACAUCCAGAAAUACCAUGAACAGGUUACCACUGACUGAGGUCACAUCCAGAAAUAUAAUAAACAGGUUACCACUGACUGAGGUCACAUCCAGAAAUAUAAUAAACAGGUUACCACUGACUGAGGCUACAUCCAGAAAUAUAAUGAACAGGUUACCACUGACUGAGGUCACAUCCAGAAAUAUAAUAAACAGGUUACCACUAACUGAGGCCACAUCCAGAAAUAUUAUGAACAACUGGUUGCCACUAACUGAGGCCACAUCCAGAAAUAUAAUAAACAGGUUACCACUGACUGAGGCUACAUCCAGAAAUAUUAUGAACAACUGGUUACCACUAACUGAGGCCACAUCCAGAAAUAUAAUAAACAGGUUACCACUGACUGAGGCUACACCCAGAAAUAUUAUGAACAACUGGUUACCACUAACUGAGGCCACAUCCAGAAAUACCAUGAACAGGUUACCACUGACUGAAGCCACAUCCAGAAAUAUUAUGAACAACUGGUUACCACUGACUGAGGCCACAUACAAAAAUAUUAUGAACAACAGGUUACCACUGACUGAGGCCACAUACAAAAAUAUUAUGAACAACUGGUU